rnacentral:rRNA from 1 species
UACGGGAGGCAGCAGUGGGGAAUAUUGCACAAUGGGCGAAAGCCUGAUGCAGCUAUGCCGCGUGUAUGAAGAAGGCCUUAGGGUUGUAAAGUACUUUCAUCGGGGAGGAAAAAACAAAACUAAUAAUUUUAUUUCUUGACGUUACCCGAAAAAGAAGCACCGGCUAACUCCGUGCCAGCAGCCGCGGUAAUACGGAGGGUGCUAGCGUUAAUCAGAAUUACUGGGCGUAAAGAGCACGUAGGUGGUUUUUUUAAGUCAGAUGUGAAAUCCCUGGGCUUAACCUAGGAACUGCAUUUUGAAACUGAAAUACUAGAGUAUCGUAGAGGGAGGUAGAAUUCUAGGUGUAGCGGUGAAAUGCGUAGAUAUCUGGAGGAAUACCUGUGGCGAAAGCGGCCUCCUAAACGAAUACUGACACUGAGGGUGCGAAAGCGUGGGGAGCAAACAGGGAUUAGAUAC